rnacentral:misc_RNA from 1 species
UAAAUUUGAAGCUAUAGAGUCUAACAACUCUUUAGAAAAAGAAUUGACCAAAUCAGUUGAUUCAUAUCGAUUCAUCUGAUUCACAAUCGAAUCGUACGAUUCAGUCACAAUUUAGGUGCAUUUGUGAUUCACCCAUAGAUUUCGAAUCGUUGGGAUGAGGAAUCAAAUCGAAUCGAGAAUCGUAAGAUUCUAAGAAUAGUGGUGUCAUCUGGUGAGCAAGAGAUGCAAUUGUACUUUAAUGUUAUAGUCCUAUAUAAGUGAAAGGGAAUAUAAAUAUGAUGCCAUUAUGCCACUAAAAGGAGGCAGCCUAUAUGACUCUUGAUGGUUUAUAAAGCAUGGAUGGUAGAAUUGUUCAAUCAAUGAUUGGAGGGAUAUGAAAUAUGUUGAGGUGCAAUAAAAAUUAUGCUUUCAAUCAAGUGGCAUCAAUUGAGAAUGAGAAUGAUGUGUAGUGAAUUCUUUUCUUAUCUACUUGGGGUUAGGAUAAAUCAAUUUUAGUUAUGAGCAGGUGGGGGGCC